GUUUGACAAGGCUUUCAUGGAGGCUGAAUCAGUAUUUCCAGGGGUAGUUUUAUGAGCCGAGUGAUAGUUUGACAAGGCUUUCAUUGAGGCUGAAUCAGUACUUCCGGGGGAUAGUUUUAUGAGCCUAGUGAUAGUUUGACAAGGCUUUCAUUGAGGCUGUAUCAGUAUUUCCAGGGGUAGUUUUAUGAGCCGAGUGAUAGUUUGACAAGGCUUUCAUUGAGGCUGUAUCAGUAUUUCCAGGGGUAAUUUUAUGAGCCGAGUGAUAGUUUGACAAGGCUUUCAUUGAGGCUGUAUCAGUAUUUCCAGGGGUAGUUUUAUGAGCCGAGUGAUAGUUUGACAAGGCUUUCAUUGAGGCUGUAUCAGUAUUUCCAGGGGUAGUUUUAUGAGCCGAGUGAUAGUUUGACAAGGCUUUCAUUGAGGCUGUAUCAGUAUUUCCAGGGGUAGUUUUAUGAGCCGAGUGAUAGUUUGACAAGGCUUUCAUUGAGGCAGUAUCAGUAUUUCCAAGCCUAGUUUUAUGAGCCUAGUGAUAGUUUGACAAGGCUUUUGUUGAGGCUGUAUCAGUAUUUCCAGGGGUAGUUUUAUGAGCCUAGUGAUAGUUUGACAAGGCUUUUGUUGAGGCUGUAUCAGUAUUUCCAGGGGUAGUUUUAUGAGCCUAGUGAUAGUUUGACAAGGCUUUCGUAGAGGCUGUAUCAGUAUUUCCAGGGGUAGUUUUAUGAGCCUAGUGAUAGUUUGACAAGGCUUUCAUAGAGGCUGUAUCAGUAUUUCCAGGCCUAGUUUUAUGAGCCUAGUGAUAGUUUGACAAGGCUUUCAUUGAGGCUGUGAGUGUUUCCAAGCCUAGUUUUAUGAGCCUAGUGAUAGUUUGACAAGGCUUCUGUACUGUGAAUGCGAAAAAGUACUCAUUAGAACCCGAUUAAUCACUUUUGUAGCCUUGGGUAAUAGUUUUUGUGAGAGCCGGAGAUGUCUCAGAAUACGUACCUAUGUUUUUGGGGUAUAUAUUAACCAUUCCUGAGUUUACAAAGAGCGACAAGUGGUAAUAAAUGUUGAAGGUUAGGUAGUGAACAGAUUAACUCAUUUUUGAUAGUGCAUAUUUGUGGGGCAUUACAGACUACGGGUAAGUUAGGUAAUACCCCGAGUCUUGUGCCUUGAAUCACCCCUGACAAAUGUUGAUACAGGAGGCUGAGUAUUGAAUAGAUUACGCUCUUUGACAGUGCAUAUUAGGGGGGGCAUUACAGACUAUGGGUAACUUAGGUAAUUCCCCAAGUCUUGUACCAUGAACCACCCCUGACAAAUGCUGAUAUUGGUUAAGUACUGAAUAGAUUACGCUCUUUGACAGUGCAUAUUAGGGGUGCAUUACAGACUAUGGGUAAGUUAAGUAAUUCCCCGAGUCUUGUACCAUCAACCACCCCUGACAAAUGCUGAUAUAGGUUAAGUACUGAAUAGAUUACACUCUUUGACAGUGCAUAUUAGGGGGGGCAUUACAGACUAUGGGUAACUUACGUAAUUCCCUGAGUCUUGUACCAUCAACCACCCCUGACAAAUGCUGAUAUAGGUUAAGUACUGAAUAGAUUACGCUCUUUGACAGUGCAUAUUAGGGGGACAUUAACACUCAUUAGAACCCUGACAGCCUUGGGAAGUAGUCGUGGGAGUCGAAAGCAUCUGAGAAUUCACACCAAAAUCAAACCAGUAUAGCAAUAUGUUAAGGUUAGGGGACACCAGCCUAGAAUAUAAGGUUAUACAUGGGUUAGAGGGACCCCAAAGAGCUGCCCUUAGAAGCACAAGCAACACAACAACAGGGUGUUAAUGUGACAUACAGAACCCAAAGCCCUAGCCAUACGUAUGUUAGCUGCAGGAACCAUUGGGAUAGGAUAGAUAAGCCCCCAAUUUGCACACACCAUCCCAUUUAGUACUCGUAUUAGGAAGGAACGGAGUCGGGAAAUUGAGCUGAGGUGAGCCGUGGGUAGUUAUGUGAUAGAUAGGCCCCCAGUUUGUACACACCACCCCAUUUAGUACUCAUAUUAGGAAGGAACGGAGUCAGGAAAUUGAGCUGAGGUAAGCCGUGGGGAAUUACGUGGUGUUGAAGUAUAGUUUUUUAAUCUUUUUUUGCUUUCUUUUUAUUUUGUACAGUUCUGUUUUCUCUCUGCUAUAAUUUCUUUGUUUCUCUUUUGUUUGGUAUAGUUUUUUGCUCGCAUCAGAAAGGAAACUUGUCUGGAAAAUCAAUGAUGUAGUUUUGUGCAGUUCUGUUUUCUCUCUGCUAUAAUUUCUUUGUUUCUCUUUUGUUUGGUAUAGUUCCUUGCUCGCAUCAAAAAGGAAACUUGUCUGGAAAAUCAAUGAUGUAGUUUUGUGCAGUUCUGUUUUCUCUCUGCUAUAAUUUCGUUGUUUCUCUUUUGUUUGGUAUAGUUUUUUGCUCGCAUCAGAAAGGAAACUUGUCUGGAAAAUCAAUGACGUAGUUUUGUACAGUUCUGUUUUCUCUCUGCUAUAAUUUCUUUGUUUCUUUUUUGUUUGGUAUAGUUCCUUGCUCGCAUCAGAAAGGAAACUUGUCUGGAAAAUCAAUGACGUAGUUUUGUGCAGUUCUGUUUUCUCUCUGCUAUAAUUUCUUUCUUUCUUUUUUGUUUGGUAUGGUUCCUUGCUCGCAUCAGAAAGGAAACUUGUCUGGAAAAUCAAUGACGUAGUUUUGUCCAUCGCUGGAAGGGAUUACGGUUGGAAUGGUGUGUGCAAAUAAACCUGUGCCAUGGAAGAAUCAAAGAACUGGCUCUCAUGAAGUCUAAGUUGAUAUUUUGGGAAGAGACAGGUCUAAAUCUAAGAUAACUUUGUUACCCAACUUAAACAAGCUUAACUUAAAAUUUUUAGUUAACCUAAUCUAGCCUAACUUAAUUAUUGGUUUAUGGAACCUAACCAAACCUAGCCUAACCUAACCUAGUCUAACUUCAAAACGAACUUCAUCUUCUAACCUCACCUAACCUAACUUAACCAAUCCUUUAUGUAACCAAACUUAACAUAACCAAACCCAACAUAAGCUAACCCAACAUAACCUAACCAAAGCUAAUCUAACCUAAGCUAACCAAACCUAACCAAUCCAAAGUUAAACAAACCCCACCCAACCUAAUCUAACCUAACUGAGC